rnacentral:rRNA from 1 species
GGACCCAUGCGGGUAGGCUACACAUGCAGUCGAACGGCAGCACAGGAGAGCUUGCUCUCUGGGUGGCGAGUGGCGGACGGGUGAGGAAUACAUCGGAAUCUACUUUUUCGUGGGGGAUAACGUAGGGAAACUUACGCUAAUACCGCAUACGACCUACGGGUGAAAGCAGGGGAUCUUCGGACCUUGCGCGAUUGAAUGAGCCGAUGUCGGAUUAGCUAGUUGGCGGGGUAAAGGCCCACCAAGGCGACGAUCCGUAGCUGGUCUGAGAGGAUGAUCAGCCACACUGGAACUGAGACACGGUCCAGACUCCUACGGGAGGCAGCAGUGGGGAAUAUUGGACAAUGGGCGCAAGCCUGAUCCAGCCAUACCGCGUGGGUGAAGAAGGCCUUCGGGUUGUAAAGCCCUUUUGUUGGGAAAGAAAUCCAGCUGGUUAAUACCCGGUUGGGAUGACGGUACCCAAAGAAUAAGCACCGGCUAACUCUGUGCCAGCAGCCGCU